CCAAGCCCCAACAUAUAUUCACAGUCCUAACAUGUAUCUAGAACCCCCCCAGCCCCAACAUGUAACCAGAGGUGCCAGCUUCAACACGUAUCCACAGCGCCAACAUGUAUCCAGAACCCCCCCAGACCCAACAUGUAUCCAGAGACCCCCAGUACCAACAUGUAUCCAGAGGCCCCCCAGACCCAAGAGGAAUCCAGAGACCCCAGUACUAACAUGUAUACAGAGGCCCCCCAGACCCAACUUGUAUCCAGAGAGCCCCAGUACCAACAUGUAUCCAGAGGCCCGCCAGACCCAACUUGUAUCCAGAGAGCCCCAGUACCAACAUGUAUCCAGAAACCC